GACGAACGCUGGCGGCGUGCUUAACACAUGCAAGUCGAACGGAAAGGCCCUGCUUUUGUGGGGUGCUCGAGUGGCGAACGGGUGAGUAACACGUGAGUAACCUGCCCUUGACUUUGGGAUAACUUCAGGAAGCUGGGGCUAAUACCGGAUAGGAGCUCCUGCUGCAUGGUGGGGGUUGGAAAGUUUCGGCGGUUGGGGAUGGACUCGCGGCUUAUCAGCUUGUUGGUGGGGUAGUGGCUUACCAAGGCUUUGACGGGUAGCCGGCCUGAGAGGGUGACCGGCGACAUUGGGACUGAGAUACGGCCCAGACUCCUACGGGAGGCAGCAGUGGGGAAUAUUGCACAAUGGGCGGAAGCCUGAUGCAGCAACGCCGCGUGCGGGAUGACGGCCUUCGGGUUGUAAACAGCUUUCGCCUGUGACGAAGCGUGAGUGACGGUAAUGGGUAAAGAAGCACCGGCUAACUACGUG
rnacentral:rRNA from 1 species